rfam:Bartonella apis strain PEB0149 NODE_1_len_1448678_cov_97_6187_ID_1.8, whole genome shotgun sequence.
GGGGCCAUAGCUCAGCUGGGAGAGCACCUGCUUUGCAAGCAGGGGGUCGUCGGUUCGAUCCCGUCUGGCUCCA